GGCGGCAUGCUUUACACAUGCAAGUCGAACGGUAACAGGGAGCUUGCUCCGCUGACGAGUGGCGAACGGGUGAGUAAUAUAUCGGAACGUACCCAAGAGUGGGGGAUAACGUAGCGAAAGUUACGCUAAUACCGCAUACGAUCCAAGGAUGAAAGCAGGGGACCGCAAGGCCUUGUGCUCCUGGAGCGGCCGAUAUCUGAUUAGCUAGUUGGUAGGGUAAAGGCCUACCAAGGCAUCGAUCAGUAGCUGGUCUGAGAGGACGACCAGCCACACUGGAACUGAGACACGGUCCAGACUCCUACGGGAGGCAGCAGUGGGGAAUUUUGGACAAUGGGCGCAAGCCUGAUCCAGCAAUGCCGCGUGAGUGAAGAAGGCCUUCGGGUUGUAAAGCUCUUUUGUCAGGGAAGAAACGGGUGUGGCUAAUAUCUGCAUCUAAUGACGGUACCUGAAGAAUAAGCACCGGCUAACUACGUGCCAGCAGCCGCGGUAAUACGUAGGGUGCAAGCGUUAAUCGGAAUUACUGGGCGUAAAGCGUGCGCAGGCGGUUUUGUAAGUCUGUUGUGAAAUCCCCGGGCUUAACCUGGGAAUGGCAAUGGAGACUGCAAGGCUAGAGUUUGGCAGAGGGGGGUAGAAUUCCACGUGUAGCAGUGAAAUGCGUAGAGAUGUGGAGGAACACCGAUGGCGAAGGCAGCCCCCUGGGUCAAGACUGACGCUCAUGCACGAAAGCGUGGGGAGCAAACAGGAUUAGAUACCCUGGUAGUCCACGCCCUAAACGAUGUCUACUAGUUGUCGGGUCUUAAUUGACUUGGUAACGCAGCUAACGCGUGAAGUAGACCGCCUGGGGAGUACGGUCGC
rnacentral:rRNA from 1 species